GAUGAACGCUGGCGGCGUGCCUAAUACAUGCAAGUCGAGCGAACGGACGAGAAGCUUGCUUCUCUGAUGUUAGCGGCGGACGGGUGAGUAACACGUGGAUAACCUACCUAUAAGACUGGGAUAACUUCGGGAAACCGGAGCUAAUACCGGAUAAUAUUUUGAACCGCAUGGUUCAAAAGUGAAAGACGGUCUUGCUGUCACUUAUAGAUGGAUCCGCGCUGCAUUAGCUAGUUGGUAAGGUAACGGCUUACCAAGGCAACGAUGCAUAGCCGACCUGAGAGGGGGGCCGCCCACACUGGAACUGAGACACGGUCCAGCCCCCGCCGGGGGCAGGAGGUAGGGAUUCUCCCGCAAGGGGAGAAGGCCUGACGGAGCAACGCCGGGGGAGUGAUGAAGGUCUUGGGAUCGUAAAACUCUUUUAUUGGGGAAAAAAAUAUGUGUAAGAAACUGUCCACAUCUUGCCGUUACCUAACAAGAAAGCCACGCCUAACUCCGGC
rnacentral:rRNA from 1 species